rnacentral:rRNA from 1 species
UACGAAGGGGGCUAGCGUUGCUCGGAAUCACUGGGCGUAAAGCGCACGUAGGCGGAUUGCUAAGUCAGGGGUGAAAUCCUGGAGCUCAACUCCAGAACUGCCUUUGAUACUGGCGAUCUUGAGUCCGGGAGAGGUGAGUGGAACUGCGAGUGUAGAGGUGAAAUUCGUAGAUAUUCGCAAGAACACCAGUGGCGAAGGCGGCUCACUGGCCCGGUACUGACGCUGAGGUGGCGAAAGCG